UCUGCCGCCACCACUACGAGGGGAGUGCACUACAUUGUAAGCAAAGGUAAAUAAAAUCCUCUAAUUAGUAAUCAUUUUUUUUCUUAUCUUUGGCUUAAAUUUUUGCACAAAAAAAAAAUCUUUGGCUUAGAUCAUCAUUCAUCAACAUCCACUAUUACCAAAGAAAAUAAUAAAAAGAACCUAUUUCUUCCUUACCCACCCAUUG